CGUCUGUUAAGAACCAGCUCCUUCCUCCAACUGUGCCAGAAAGUAACUAAGCUUUUGGCUGGUCCAGCAAGACAGGGCAGUCAGGCUGACAAUGGUGCUCUUGCUGAACUUUCAGCCAGAGUGCGAUUCUGAACUCCCGGGUGAACGGUACAAGGAAAUCCUGACUGCAGGCUGGGUCAACCCGCCCAAUGCCAUCGGACAAAGAAUAAAACAUUACUACUAGGGUUCCAAAUGUGAGCCAUCUGACUACGUCUUGCACACUGAAACCUCAGACUAGCCAAUUCUGCACUCCAAUCUCCUUCAAAAGAGAGCCGGGAGAGACUGCUGCGAGGGACAGGCACAGAAGAAAGACCCUGUGAGAACACAGUGAGAAGGUGGCCAUCUGCAAAGAGGCCUGCCAGGAGGGAGGCCUCAGAAGAAAGCAAACCUGCAGACAUCUUGAUCUUGAACUUCUAGCCUCC
rnacentral:lncRNA from 10 species